rnacentral:lncRNA from 10 species
GAAAUUCUUGCCAGAUGUCUGUUUCAUCAGGUCCUGGAUAAGGUGGUACUACUCUGGCAAAAACUCUAGCUCAAAGAUUAAUGCCUCCCCCCUGGACUGGACUUGAGUAGUUCAUUAAUAGAAGAGAUGCUGAAUGUUUGUUAGUAAUGGUGACAAACUAUGGAGAAAAUGCUUACUGCAUUAAUUCUUUGAAGGAUUGUUACUGAACUAUUCUAUAUUCUCUACACUAGGAUUGCUAAAGUUCCAGAGACAUUUGUUUCUAAAUGAUUCCAGGGUAUUUUCAUAGAUAUUAAGCUAUGGAUUUGUGAAGAAUAUAUGGCAUUUUGCUACACUGACCACUUGUAAAAGUGUAGAAAUGAAAAAUGGUCUAAUGUCAUCAUAUGAAAGAACAGCACCAAACUUGUGGCCUAGAAAUGCUCUCCUGCUUAAUCCACAAUCCAAAGAUGCAUAAGGACUCUACUAAUGAGCAAAUAGCUGCGUCUCUACAGAUAUCCUGUCCAUUACAAACCCAGGUUGGGCUAUGCCUUGAGCAGAAGUCUGGUUAAGAUCGUUUAUUUUUACUGAUUUUCUGGGACACUGUGGCGAAGCAUGCAGUUGGUGACACUCAAUAAGGAGAGACUACUAGAGUCUAAAGGGUGAUGCCCCGGAGACAAAUGCAGCAUGCUUUCUUGCCAUGGCUAGGAAAGCAUAUGCUUCUUUAGAAAUACCCACAGUAGCAGCAGCAGACGCUGCUACCACCACACAUGACAAGGAACUUGCGUCUCACCCUGCAUUACACUAACUUCCUCCUGAUAAUAUAUUGAAAAUUAGCUGUAAUAAAGUUAGUGAUAACUAAGGAUGUUAUUUUUUGUAGGUUUGUCCAUUUGACAUUUUUGUGGCAUCAGAAUAUUAGUAUUGUAGGUUUAACAUUAUUUUCAGGCCCCGAGAUAAAGAGGAGC